ACACGUGAGUAACCUGCCCUUAACUCUGGGAUAAGCCUUGGAAACGGGGUCUAAUACUGGAUAUUGACAUGGUCCCGCAUGGGGUUGUGUUGAAAGAUUUAUUGGUUUUGGAUGGACUCGCGGCCUAUCAGCUUGUUGGUGAGGUAAUGGCUCACCAAGGCGACGACGGGUAGCCGGCCUGAGAGGGUACCGGCCACACUGGGACUGAGACACGGCCCAGACUCCUACGGGAGGCAGCAGUGGGGAAUAUUGCACAAUGGGCGAAAGCCUGAUGCAGCGACGCCGCGUGAGGGAUGACGGCCUUCGGGUUGUAACCUCUUUCAGUAGGGAACAAGGCCAGUCGUUGACUGGUUGAGGGUACUUGCAGAAGAAGCGCCGGCUAACUACGUGCCAGCAGCCGCGGUAAUACGUAGGGCGCAAGCGUUAUCCGGAAUUAUUGGGCGUAAAGAGCUCGUAGGCGGUUUGUCGCGUCUGCCGUGAAAGUCCGGGGCUCAACUCCGGAUCUGCGGUGGGUACGGGCAGACUAGAGUGAUGUAGGGGAGACUGGAAUUCCUGGUGUAGCGGUGAAAUGCGCAGAUAUCAGGAGGAACACCGAUGGCGAAGGCAGGUCUCUGGGCAUUAACUGACGCUGAGGAGCGAAAGCAUGGGGAGCGAACAGGAUUAGAUACCCUGGUAGUCCAUGCCGUAAACGUUGGGCACUAGGUGUGGGGGACAUUCCACGUUUUCCGCGCCGUAGCUAACGCAUUAAGUGCCCCGCCUGGGGAGUACGGCCGCAAGGCUAAAACUCAAAGGAAUUGACGGGGGCCCGCACAAGCGGCGGAGCAUGCGGAUUAAUUCGAUGCAACGCGAAGAACCUUACCAAGGCUUGACAUGAACUGGAAAUACCUGGAAACAGGUGCCCCGCUUGCGGUCGGUUUACAGGUGGUGCAUGGUUGUCGUCAGCUCGUGUCGUGAGAUGUUGGGUUAAGUCCCGCAACGAGCGCAACCCUCGUUCUAUGUUGCCAGCACGUAAUGGUGGGGACUCAUAGGAGACUGCCGGGGUCAACUCGGAGGAAGGUGAGGACGACGUCAAAUCAUCAUGCCCCUUAUGUCUUGGGCUUCACGCAUGCUACAAUGGCCGGUACAAUGGGUUGCGAUACUGUGAGGUGGAGCUAAUCCCAAAAAGCCGGUCUCAGUUCGGAUUGGGGUCUGCAACUCGACCCCAUGAAGUCGGAGUCGCUAGUAAUCGCAGAUCAGCAACGCUGCGGUGAAUACGUUCCCGGGCCUUGUACACACCGCCCGUCAAGUCACGAAAGUUGGUAACACCCGAAGCCCAUGGCCCAACCCGCAAGGGAGGGAGUGGUCGAAGGUGGGAC
rnacentral:rRNA from 1 species